UGGAAACAGAAAACAAGUAAUGACCCUUCUCUGCAGGGCAGGAAGCCUAGACCAAAAGCUGGGUAAUGUGAUCCGAGCUACGGUAGCCAUUUGAAGACUCUGAGGACAAACUGUACCCCCGGAUUUGCUUGAGCUUCCCUUGCCUUCUGGUUGGUACACACCAGGUCACCACAACCCAGAUGGGCCUGCAGCCCACAGUACAGUAUGUACCUCGAUCUCCUCUCCCCUCUCGUCGGGGCCUGCAACAUGAGCAUCCCUGACUACGUGCAGUGUGCUGAGGACCACCAGACUUUCCCCAUGGUGGUCGAACACGUGGGGAUCAUUUCAGAGGAGAAUUUCUUUUGCAUCUAUAAGUGAAUCACCUUGGUGAGUCAGAUCAGUCCGUGCGGCUCCCAGUGGGCAAUCUGUAUCCACUACAGGCACCACUAUGCGCCCAAGAAUGGGUGGAGCGUCUUCCAGACCCACCGCAAGGUCUUGGGCCUUGUCAUCAUUACUGACUGCCUCUCGGCCAAGGUUUCGAGAAGCUCCACGUGCAGAGGAGCUGUAUGGCACCACGCUCUAUGACUCUCAGCUCUUUGACUUUCUGCUGCAUGGGGAGGUGGCCGAGCAGCCGCGCACCGAAGUGGCCUUCAAUUUACGAGGACUGCAGGGUGGUGGAGAAGAGGAUCGAGGACUUCACUGAGUCACUCUUCAUCUUGCCUAAGUCCAAGUGGCUGGACGGUGCAUCCGACAAUUUUGGGGACAAGAUCCUCCUUCUCUGCAUCCCAUUUGAGAAGGAGGACAUCAUGGGACUGGACACAGAAAGCAGUACGUUUUGGUUACUGAGUCCCUCGAAUUCCCAUAUGAAUAGUAGCAGCAGCUAGUCAGUUACUGCAGAGGAGCCCGCUGGGAUUGUGAUCGAGACCACGUUGAGUAUACAGAUCGCUCUGGGGAGCACUGCCAUCCCAAGAGCGCUGUCAUCUGAUCCAGGAAUGUGCGUGGUGUGUCUGUCCAGGGGAAAAGAGUACAAUUCAAAAAUAUAAAGAUUGUGAGCUAAUGAGAUAGACAAGACAACCGAACAUUUGUUAAAUAUCCUUUCAUGCCGGAAACAAAUGUAUUAUACACACAAAAAGCACACAAAUCACGGUAGUACUGCGGUUACAAACGUGGGUCCGAGUUCGAGUCCUGCUCUGGAGUGACCAGUCCUGUGAGAUGGA